GCCUAGUUAGCUUAGUUGGUAAUGCGUCUGCCUUGUAAGCGCUAGGUCGCGGGUUCGAUUCCCGCCCGGGGCG
rnacentral:tRNA from 1 species